rnacentral:rRNA from 1 species
UAUGGUGGUUUUGCCGAGGGUGUUCACCUCUUCCCAUUCCGAACAGAGUAGUUAAGUCCCUCAUGGCCGAUGGUACUUGGUCCUUGACCUGGGAGAGUAGGUAGCCGCCAUAU